rnacentral:rRNA from 1 species
ACUUAGGUGUUGUUGGGUAGGGGAGCGUUCUGUAAGCCGUUGAAGGUGACCUGUGAGGGUUGCUGGAGGUAUCAGAAGUGCGAAUGCUGACAUAAGUAACGAUAAUGCGGGUGAAAAACCCGCACGCCGGAAGACCAAGGGUUCCUGUCCAACGUUAAUCGGGGCAGGGUGAGUCGACCCCUAAGGCGAGGCUGAAAAGCGUAGUCGAUGGGAAACAGGUUAAUAUUCCUGUACUUGGUGUUACUGCGAAGGGGGGACGGAGAAGGCUAGGCUGGCCGGGCGACGGUUGUCCCGGUUUAAGCGUGUAGGGGGAGUGACCAGGUAAAUCCGGUUGCUUAUCAACCCUGAGGCGUGAUGACGAUGCACCACGGUGCAGAAGCAGUUGAUGCCAUGCUUCCAGGAAAAGCCUCUAAGCAUCAGGUAACAUUAAAUCGUACCCCAAACCGACACAGGUGGUCAGGUAGAGAAUACUCAGGCGCUUGAGAGAACUCGGGUGAAGGAACUAGGCAAAAUGGUGCCGUAACUUCGGGAGAAGGCACGCUGGCGUUAGGUGAAAGGACUAGCUCCUGGAGCUGAAGCCAGUCGCAGAUACCAGCUGGCUGCAACUGUUUAAUAAAAACACAGCACUGUGCAAACACGAAAGUGGACGUAUACGGUGUGACGCCUGCCCGGUGCUGGAAGGUUAAUUGAUGGGGUCAGCCGCAAGGCGAAGCUCUUGAUCGAAGCCCCAGUAAACGGCGGCCGUAACUAUAACGGUCCUAAGGUAGCGAAAUUCCUUGUCGGGUAAGUUCCGACCUGCACGAAUGGCGUAAUGAUGGCCAGGCUGUCUCCACCCGAGACUCAGUGAAAUUGAACUCGCUGUGAAGAUGCAGUGUACCCGCGGCAAGACGGAAAGACCCCGUGAACCUUUACUAUAGCUUGACACUGAACAUUGAGCCUUGAUGUGUAGGAUAGGUGGGAGGCCUUGAAGUGUGGACGCCAGUCUGCAUGGAGCCAACCUUGAAAUACCACCCUUUAAUGUUUGAUGUUCUAACUCGGCCCCAUGAUCUGGGGUGAGGACAGUGUCUGGUGGGUAGUUUGACUGGGGCGGUCUCCUCCCAAAGAGUAACGGAGGAGCACGAAGGUUAGCUAAUCACGGUCGGACAUCGUGAGGUUAGUGCAAAGGCAUAAGCUAGCUUGACUGCGAGAGUGACGGCUCGAGCAGGUACGAAAGUAGGUCUUAGUGAUCCGGUGGUUCUGAAUGGAAGGGCCAUCGCUCAACGGAUAAAAGGUACUCCGGGGAUAACAGGCUGAUACCGCCCAAGAGUUCAUAUCGACGGCGGUGUUUGGCACCUCGAUGUCGGCUCAUCACAUCCUGGGGCUGAAGUAGGUCCCAAGGGUAUGGCUGUUCGCCAUUUAAAGUGGUACGCGAGCUGGGUUUAGAACGUCGUGAGACAGUUCGGUCCCUAUCUGCCGUGGGCGUUGGAAGAUUGAGAGGGGCUGCUCCUAGUACGAGAGGACCGGAGUGGACGAAUCACUGGUGUUCGGGUUGUCAUGCCAAUGGCAUUGCCCGGUAGCUAAAUUCGGAAGAGAUAACCGCUGAAAGCAUCUAAGCGGGAAACUUGCCUCGAGAUGAGUCUUCCCUGGGACUUAAAGUCCCCUGAAGGAACGUUAAAGACUAUGACGUUGAUAGGCUGGGUGUGUAAGUGCAGCGAUGUAUUGAGCUAACCAGUACUAAUGAUCCGUGAGGCUUAACCUUACAACACCGAAGGUGUUU